rnacentral:rRNA from 1 species
AGUAGAGCAUCUUAAGAGCAUACGGUGAAUGGCUUGACAGUAUGUGCCGAUGAAGGACGUCGUAACCUGCGAUAAGCCUCGGGGAGGUGGUAAACAACCUUUGAUCCGGGGAUUUCCGAAUGGGGCAACCUAGCAUGGAGCAUGCCAUGUUGGCGGCACGUGAACACAUAGCGUGUCGUUGGGAACCCAGGGAAGUGAAACAUCUCAGUACCUGGUGGAAAAGAAAAUAACCAUUCACUUCGCAUCUUAUUGCCCCUCGGGGUGAUGAGAUGCGAAACAGUGAAUACCAUUCCCUAAGUAGCGGCGAGCGAACGGGGAACAGCCUAAACUCACAUCAUGAAGGUGCGGCAUCCGUUGGUCUUCGGAUCUUCGUUUGCUGUACUGAAAGGCAGGGGCCGUUGUGGUGUGAGCGUUGGAGGAUACAUUCUUGGCGCGCCCCUUUAGCGCCAAUCGACUCGUGUCAAUAUAGUUGAAUCUUCUGGAAAGAAGAACCAAAGAAGGUGAUAGUCCUGUACGCGAAAUAUUGCCACAGCGAUGAGUGUAUUCCUAAGUACUACGAGGCACGUGAAACCUUGUAGGAAUCUGCCGCGACUACGCGGCAAGGCUAAAUACACAUACUGAUCGAUAGUGAACAAGUACCGUGAGGGAAAGCUGAAAAGUACCCCGGGAGGGGACUGAAAUAGUAUCUGAAACCGUAUGCUUACAGGGAGUGGAAGCGGAUGCCUUUGGGUAUUCCGUGACCGCGUUCCUAUUGAAGAAUGAACCUACGAGUGUGCUGGGUAUGGUUGGUUAAGCUCGACAGAGUGAAGCCACAGUGAAAGCGAGGGUGAAUAGCCCGAAAUAAAAAUCGUAUCCACACGACCCGAAACCGGGUGAUCUAACCAUGAGCAGGGUGAAGCGAGCGUAACAACUCGUGGAGGCCCGAACCAAUACGCCGUGCAACACGUUUGGAUGACUUGUGGUUAGCGGAGAAAUUCCAAUCGAACUCGGUAAUAGCUGGUUCUCUCCGAAACAGUUUUAGGACUGGCGGUUGUAAUGGGACUGUUCCCAAACAGCCUGUUUGCCUCAUUAUGUCCAAGAUCGGUCUGCUCCUUGCUCAAAAAGCCUCGACGUAGCUCUGCUACGCCUGUGUCUUUUGAGCGGCGGAUCAGUUCCAAUCUUGAACAAAUGAGCUCAAACAGCUAUUCGGGAACAGUCCCUAUAGUCUGUGGGGGGUAGAGCACUGAAUGGGUUUGAGGCCCGAAAGGGUACUCGGCCUAACCAAACUCCGAAUACUCACAGAUGUUCCAACUAGUUAGACUAUGGGGGCGAAGCUCCAUCAGUCAAAAGGGGAACAGCCCAGAUCUCAAACUAAGGUCCCUAAAUCACGACUAAGUGUGAAAGGUGGUGAUGUGACGUAUACAACCAGGAGGUUGGCUUAGAAGCAGCCAUCCUUUAAAGAAAGCGUAACAGCUCACUGGUCAAGUUGCGUUGCGCCGAUAAUGUACCGGGGCUCAAGUCGUGUACCGAAAUUGAGGGUUUACGUUUAACGACGUAAGCGGUAGGAGAGCAUUCCAUGUGCACUGAAGCGAAAGGGGUGACCCAUCGUGGAGCGCAUGGAAGAGAGAAUGUAGGUAUGAGUAGCAAAAAGACAGGUGAGAACCCUGUCCACCGAAAAACCAAGGUUUCCUGGGCAACGCAAAUCGACCCAGGGUUAGUCGGGAGCUAAGGCGAGGCCGAAAGGCGUAGUCGAUGCACAGCAGGUUAAUAUUCCUGCACUACUAUUGGUUUCCGAUGGGGGGACGGUUCUUCGAGCAUCCCGCGUCCUAUGGCUAUGACGUUGGGGCGUCGUUCUCGUGGAGUAGGCAAAUCCGCUCCGCACAAGAGCGUGGCGCAUCGCGAGCCCUGUCAUUUGACGGGGCAAGGGGAUGGGAGAAGGAUCCAAGAAAAGCCUCUAGGGAUAAACCAAUGGUACCCGUACCGUAAACCGACACAGGUGGUUGAGUUGAGAAUACUAAGGUGUACGAGAGAAACAUCCUUAAGGAACUAGGCAAAACAGCGGCCGUAACUUCGGGAUAAGGCCUGCUUUCCAUCGGGAGAUGGGGAGCCGCAGCGAAAGACCCCAAGCGACUGUUUACCAAAAACACAGGUCCCUGCUAAACCGCAAGGUGAUGUAUAGGGGCUGAUGCCUGGCCAGUGUCCGAACGUUANNNNNNNNNNNNNNACGUUAAGGAAGUGGGUUAGCGCCUUCGGGUGCGAAGCUUGCGACUGAAGCGCGGAUGAACGCCGGCCGUAACUAUAACGGUCCUAAGGUCGGACGCUUCUUCAUUGGGAAGGAGUGGCCGAGGACUGGGACUGUUAUAGCUUCGAUAAUAUGCAAAAGCUGCCUCGUUCUGCGGUGACGCAGAAUCGGUCAAAACAUGGCUAUAUGCUGGAAACCCUUUUGCUAGGGCAAUCAGCAGGGAAGUCCUUAUAUUUACAAUGGACCCCCCAGAGACUAAACGCCGUGCCCCCGUCGUGUGACGGGGUGAAGAUAUAGUCCAAGGCAUAAGGAAGCCUAGAGCGAAAUUCCUUGUCGGGUAGGCUGGUCGGACCAAGCGAUGCUUGGAACCACUUGCCCGAAUGUCGUGGUAACAUGACACAGAAAACCGGCUCAUAACGGUGAAGCCCCAUGUGGGUAAUACCGUGGGAAGUCGUCCAGAGAGAAGGUGCGAAAGCAUUAGAAUCGAAGGAUUGACCCCGUAACGACUGACCCGAAAGGGAAGACUUCUGUGAAACAUCAGAGGUAACACGCCGGCUCUUCUUAUAAAAGCCAAUCUAUGGAAAUUGAUCCAUGGUAUAUCAGUGGAUUUGUUGAUGGCGAAGGCAGCUUUCUUGUUUCAUUCUCCAAACGUCAAAACAUGGCAAUGGGGGUUGAAGUGAGACCAAGCUUUACUGUCAGUCAACACGAACGAAACAAAGAAGUUGUUUGUCAACUCCAACGCUUCUUUCAUUGUGGGAGUGUGCGAUUCAACACAAGAGACCAAACAUAUAAGUUUGAAGUGCGCUCAUUGUCGGAUUUGACCAACCGUGUCAUUCCUCAUUUUGAAGCGUACCCACUUCUUACGUCAAAGCAGAAAGACUUCGAGUCACUGCGACACGUUUGUCAUCUUAUGGUGCACAAAGCACACCUCACGCAUAAUGGCAUUGAGCAGAUCAUCAAGUCCUCCUAUUUGAUGAACAAUCUCGGUGCACGAAGAUAUACAAUGAAUAAUCUCCUACGGAUGGUGAGAAGAUGAAGGUAUAGUCUGAACAUGAUGGUAACGUCAUGCAACGCAAUGGAGUUCCGACCCGCACGAAUGGCAUAACGAUUUGGGGACUGUCUCAAGGAUGUACUCGGCGAAAUUGCAAUAUGAGUGAAGAUGCUCAUUUACCCGCAGCCGGACGAAAAGACCCCGUGAAGCUUUACUACAGCUUGCUAUUGGGUUUAUGACUUACCUGUUCAGUAUAGGUGGGAGCCUUCGGGCGCCAAUGAGAUACCACCCUUGUAUUUUGUGAAUCCUAAUCUGACGCCGUUAUCCGGUGUCGGAGACAGUAGCUGGUGGGUAGUUUGACUGGGGCGGUCGCCUCCCAAAAAGUAACGGAGGCGUUUACAAAGGUUGGCUUAGCCCGGAUGGACAUCGGGCUGAAAGUGCAAGCGCAAAAGCCAGCUUUACUGCAAGACCGACAUGUCGCGCAGUCACGAAAGUGGAAGCUAGUGAUCCGACCGUACGAUGUAGGACGGCGGAAGCUCAACGGAUAAAAGCUACUCCGGGGAUAACAGGCUGAUCCCGCCCAAGAGUUCACAUCGACGGCGGGGUUUGGCACCUCGAUGUCGGCUCAAUUAGGGUCGACCUGGUAUCAUCGAUACCAGACAAAAACAACGGCUUAUAACGGUGAAACCCAAUUCUGUACCCAGAUGAGUUGGGCAAUACCGUGGGAAGUCUAGGUGAAUUUAUAAUAGGUAUGUAUAAGAUUCGCUAGGCCCCGUAACGACUGAUCCCGAAAGGGAGAGAUAAGAAGUUCCUGAUAUUCAGGAUCAAAAUUCUUAUCAUACGCCGUCUCUUGCCAAAAAAAACGAGAGUCUACGCGCUCGGCGCUAAGGACCUCGGCAAGAUGAAGAUAUAGUCUGCACCUCUAGUAAUAGAGGAAUGAUGUGCGUCUCAUCCUGGGGGAGGAGCAUCUCCCAAGGGUUAGGCUGUUCGCCUAUUAAAGAGGCACGCGAGCUGGGUUCAGAACGUCGUGAGACAGUUCGGUCUCCUAUCCGCUGUGGGCGUUGAUACUUGAGAAGGCACACCUCUAGUACGAGAGGACCGAGGUGUACUGACCACUGGUGUACCAGUUGUUCUGCCAAGAGCAUUGCUGGGUAGCUACGUCGGGUUAGGAUAAGCGCUGAAAGCAUAUAAGCGCGAAGCCGUCUUCAAGAUUAGGUAUCGCAGACCCGUUCGAGACGAGGACGUUGAUAGGCUCUAGGUGUACGCGCAGUAAUGCGUGUAGCCGAGGAGUACUAAUAGGUCAUAGCUCUACUAC